CACCUCAUGGUUCCUACUUCCCACCUUAAGGUUCCUACUAGCCACCUCAUGGUUCCUACUAGCCACCUCAGGGUUCCUACUUCCCACCUUAAGGUUCCUACUAGCCACAUCAGUGUUCCUACUAGCCACCUUAAGGUUCCUAAUAGCCACCUUAAGGUUCCUACUAGCCACCUCAUGGUUCCUACUUCCCACCUUAAGGUUCCUACUAGCCACCUCAUGGUUCCUACUUCCCACCUUAAGGUUCCUACUAGCCACCUCAUGGUUCCUACUAGCCACCUCAGGGUUCCUACUUCCCACCUUAAGGUUCCUACUAGCCAUAUCAGUGUUCCUACUAGCCACCUCAGUGUUCCUACUACCAACCUUAAGGUUCCUACUUGCCACCUCAGGGUUCCUACUACCCACCUUAAGGUUCCUACUUGCCACCUCAGUGUUCCUACUAGCCACCUUAAGGUUCCUACUUGCCACCACAGGGUUCCUACUUCCCACCUUACGGUUCCUUUGGCCAUUACUGAAGUCACGCUGUGUGUGACUGAGUGAGUGUGUGUUCACUAAAUCACUUCUUCCUGUUCAGCUCUGUGCCUGUUUUUAAUGGCACUGCUCCAACACCAUUUAACAUAUACUACCUGUGGUCAAGCUGAUUUCCUUCCUCCUUUCCUUUCUUUCUUCCAUCCUCACACCCUUCAGUUGCUUGUCAUCCCUUCAUUAUUUUCACUUUCUCACACAAGCUUCCUUUGCUCACUUGUUAUCAUGAUCCUUCUCGUCCCCAUGAUCCACUUUCUGUUUCCAACUAAGUUUCUGCUCCAAAGUUGCAUGACUAGUUGGAGACAGAGGGACAAAUGUAAGUCAUUUAAGAGAUGGAAGGGAAGUUGAAGAGAAGAUAAGUGAAUAGGAAGGAGGAAGGAGGAGUUUUUGGUUAGAUGGAGAUUAUAAAGAGAUGCGGAGAGGGAGAAAUCAUGGCAUGAGAAGGCAGAGAGAGAGACAGAGGGGAGCAGAAAUGGCCUGGAGAGUGAAAGCAAUAAUAUAGAGGAAGAGGGGGUGGUGGAUCACAGGGAGACAAAAACUAUAGGAGAGUGGAGUGCUGAUAACACAAAGAGCAGAGAAAGCGAAGGGUUGGGAUAGAAAAAAAAAAAGGCAGCGACGAGAGGAGAGGCUGAGUAGGAGAAGAGUCUAUAGUCGGAUCAAUGGAUGCCCUGUCCUCUGCAAUGUCUCUGCAUUUCCUCCGGCUUACACAAUAAGGCCCUCUCACUGCACCAGGGAGAGAGUGUGUGGGGGUGUGUGUGUGUGUAUAAGUGCAUGUGUGUGGAAAGAAGGGAAUGACAUUCAGGGGGGGGAUAUGACCCCUUUGAACCCUAGUCUUUUCUUAAUAUUAGAGGUCAAUGGUCGGUGUUCUGACGGAUAUUUAACUCGCUGGUUGCUCACAGGGCACCGUGGACGGGCAUUUGAUCCCUAGAGGAGGCCUCUCUCUCCGUCUGCGUGAAUGCGCAUUGGUUUUUAUCUGAUGACGGUGUGUUAAAGUGUGUUACCAAUGCUGUAUGGACUUAACACUGCUGUUUUGCCUUCAACUUCUGGGACAUGGAACGGGACCCAGCCAGAACAUAAAAUAAAAAAAAGUGCGUAAUGAAAAUUUUGUGAACGUUCCAAUUAGUUCUGAUUAAUAAAUCAUUAAGCUAUAUUAAAGUAGUAAAAGAAAUCCGCUGCGGAUGUUGAUCCAACCAACUACAGAAAAUACAAAGUACCUGAAAAAUAACUGCGUUAAUUGACCAACCAUUUCCGUACUAAUGGAUAGGAAGCUAAAUGGAUGCAGAGAUGAAGAUUAAGAUUCUGCUUGAGUGAGAACACAACUGCAAUUUGGAGGACUUAAUGAGCAACAGCAAUCUCUGCACACUGUGACAAACACUGGAAAGGAGGCCAGAGUGGGCCAAACGCAUUAUAAACAGGAGUAAUGCAGCCUCAGCAUGUAUAGUGUAGGUGUGUCAAUAAUACCAUAUCAGCUCUUUGCUUCCCCCUCCCGUCAAGAUUAACUGGUAAUUGAUUGGUGAGCGAUGCUGCCCCUUUUGUACAUUACUUCAAAGUGUUGGAGUUUGUCCUAAAUGUAUAAAAUAGACUGAAGAAGAGUAAUACUUAAUAUUCUUUCUCUCUCUCUUACCCUCUUCCCUCUCUCUAUUACGUUCUCCCUCUCCACUCUCUCCUGGGUGUCCUGUUCUUCUCCUCUCUCUUUCUCGCUCUAACCUCAGCCAGGCCUUCAGUGAUGCUUUCAGUUUAUUUUUAGAGACAAGUGAUUUGCCCAGCGGACCGACGGCAGACUGCUCGCAGGUUACAAGGGCACGAUGGAGCAAGGCCACAGUGUGCCCUUAGACCUGUACUAAAGGGGGGGUUUCAGCUCACCAGGGCGUGUGUGUUUGUGUGUAAGGGGGGAAAGAGAAGGCGAGACGGGGUGAGACAGUGGCUGACGAGGCCUGUGCAUGUGUGUCCUCCAGCAGCCAUGAUGCAUUAGUGUAACCUGAUGCCUCUCCUCCCCUGUGAGCCCUAACCUUGAGACAAACAGAGAGAUGGAUGCAGGUUGCAGAGCCAUGUUCUGUUGUAAAUGAGGCUGUUGGUCUUCAUAACUAGAUGUGUCUAAUCCUAGACAGGCAUGUAAGACUGAUAGUGCUGUUAGGUAUGAGAAGGGCUGGUUGCAGUGAUCUGCUAUUAUUCCAUUUCUGAGCCUUUUUUUCCUGGUAUAUAAUAAAACAAGUGAGCGUUGAGCGGUGUCAUCUCAUUUUAUCAUUUAAUCUUUAUAUAACGAUUUCAAAUUCAAUUUACUUUAUUUACCAAAGGAAAACAGAUAUGUCAAAUGUUGUGCUAAGUCAUUAAAAUAAGCCAAAAAGGUAAAACAUUGGCGAAAUGUGGAUCUAAAAGAUUCGAUAAAAAAUGUUUAGAAAGAAAAUUAGAUUUUCUUUGCGUUUGAUACGGUUUCAGAUACGGCUCAUAGUUUAUAAUAUACAUAUACACAAUUUAACAAGUGCUGCAUUUGACACACAGACAUUUAAGGGUUUAAUCAAUGCGCAAUUGAAAGGAUUACCUUUAUUUAUUGUGCACUUUUUAAAGCAGAGCACCCAAAACCAACCCUGGCAUUGUCCUUUCAGGAAAAUAUGGGCUAUGCCCAAACUUAAAACAUGUGGGUUUUCAUAAUUUUUGCACCCAUCAUACGAAAUUAUCAUUACCUGUUUGGACCCCUGCACAGUGACUCGCCAACCAGCAUGAGAAAACCAUUCUGUAAAUUCUGUAUUCAAGGCAUAAAAAGCCUAUCACCCUUUACCGAUCACGCUACAAACCAGAUGAAGCAUUAGUGGGAGAAGAGAUGUUUCGUUCCAUCCCUUUGCUUCACUGUGAAAAACGGUGUUAUGCCUCGGAGUCAUUUCUUUUAUGAAGGAACCUACAGGGUCAUUAUGGGCCCAAGUAUAAGGAAACUCACAAUUGAAAUUCUUCAUCUGGAAUACAUUUAUUAAUAAUGGGGUAUUAUUCUCCAUCCUAUUCCCCUACAUUAAAUAAUACUAUUCCCAGGGCCCAUUAAGAAACUUAAUCAUCGGGGGGUGAAAUAUAUUGCGGAAAGAUGAUUACAGCUGAUGAUAUUCACAGAUAAGUCAAAGAUGAUCACAAGAUGUGGUCUUUUCUUUCUAGUUCUUUCCCCCUUUUCUUUUACUUGCACGGGUUUCUUCGGCACCCGACAGGUUCCUGUCUUACUGCGAUCUGUCUUCUCAGAAGAAGAAAGAGAAGACGAUAAAAAGAUGUGAUACGGGAAUUUGAAAAAGAAAAAAGACAAAAAGGUAUAAAAAUAGCCAUCCGUGAGGCAGAAGUGUAAAUCAUUCACAGACGUACCGGCGUAGGGUCAUCAAGGUUUAAAUAUUCAUUAUGGGUGUCAAGGCAAGGCUUUUAGAUCUUGUGGGAUACAGUUUCGUUUGCCCCCCUCAUUUCAUGUUUAUGUCAACUGAAUUAUGCAUCAAGACCAAUGUUAUAAAUACUCUUAGUUUUGUUUUUUUGUGCUGGAGCUUCUGCAUGAAACAAACACGGCCAGAGAUCAAACUUUGAAUCCCACUGGAGUCGAAAGAAGUUAAAGUGUGUGGACUCGGGGCGCAGUGAGGCUCGCUGGGAGAAAACAUGCUCUGAACAGCCGAUAUUCAUUCUCUAUUACUGCAUGCGCAGGGAAUACGAAGAAGUACACAUGCGGGCAUUUGCAUCCUGCACGCUGCACAGCGAUUGGCUGUCUGGCACUUCAACAGGACACCUGACAUUUUGAUGGACACAUUUUGAAGGAUCAAAUUUGUGAGUUUUUGGCAACGGGACAAUUUCUCUCUUGAAUCUAACAAGUUGAAGCUCUCUUCCUCGGAGCCCAGCAGUCACUUUUGAGACCGUUUUGUUAUAUUUGAAAUAUAUUGUACAUCUUGCAUGUUUUGGCCUCUUUAAAGUGCAAGCUUUUAAUUAGCGGCACAUCUCGCCAAACCCUCGACUACUCCUUUAAGUCCAACUCCCUACUUUAUGAUAGCGUAAUCAUUUUGAAUUCUAAUUGAAUACACGUGAUGAACAAGUCACAGCGCACGCCGUACCACUGCUGCCCUCCAAUGCAAAACAACGCGAGCCCGGUAGCCCCCCGUGUGCUCUACAUGAAUGUGUCUCCAUACCCUUGUGGAGAACCCAGAGAGGGAGCCAAAACGUAACGUGUAUCUUGUUUCUCAUCCCAUUAUAAUGUUAAGUUCCCCCUCUCUUUAGCUGUAACAAGUACUGCGCUCCCUGUAGACCAGCAGCUUCCCUUUUCCUCACCUCCUCUUUCCCUGUCUUCAUUUUCUUUCCACCUGCAUUAUAUCUUCACCCUCUCUGUUUUUCCCGUCUCCCUUGCAUCGGUUAAUUUAUCACCAGCCAAAUCUGCUCUCCGUUUCCAUCUCCAUACAUUUCCUGUGGCUGCCCUUCUUCCCAGCCACCUCACCCCCUCUUUCCCUUUGUCUCUUCCUCUUCCUCUUCCCUUUCUCUAUUACGUUCUCGUUCACCACUCUCUUCUGGGUGCCCCCCCCCUCUCUCUCUCUCUCUGUGUCUCUGGGAGUAGCAGACCUCCUGACGGCUUAGUAUUGAUCCUUCAAUCUCCCUCACAUGCUCCCUCUCCCUCCGCCUCGCACACAUACACGUGCAUUAGGGUGACAAGAUAAAAGGGUUUGUAUGCCCCAAGGCACAGGCAGCUAAACAUGAGACCAGAGGCUCUCAGCCUGCAGGACAUGUAUGAAAAACAGAGACCCUUAAGAAACCCAAGGCUUUUUCCAAAUCUCUGACAGGAAACCGUUGGUAAAUUACCAUUAGAUUUAUUUACAACAAGCUUAUUUUAUCUGCAAGUCGAGCCCGGAUCUUGCUGGAACAACAUAAAUCUUGUAGAAUUGCGAUGUUGGAAACAUUUUUCAGCGGGUGCCUCAGAGAGCUUAAGGCAACCAGCACGCUCCAGCCUCCGUGAAGGAAUAUUUCCAGAUAAUAAUGUUAUUUAUAAUCUUUGCCCCGGGGUGGGGUGUACUUGACUCAAACUGAAAUAAGUUCCUUGUUUUUCUAUAAAGAGCUGUUCAAGCAAAGCUGAAGAUUGUGUUUAGGGGGUCAGUCGGUAAUACAUUUAAAAAUGAAUUGGAAGUGAUAAAGUUGCUUCUGUUUGCAUGAUCUUCACUCGGAGUCUAGUUCCGAAUGGCUUACGUUGAAAAGGUACGCAAAGCGUGGAGGGAAUCAAAUUAAAACAGGGAGGCAAAGCCGCCUUGUAGCGGAGCCGCACAACUUUUAGAGUUGAAGACAAAUGGUAAAAGUUUACCCGAGUUUUAUGUUCUGCUGAAUACAGUUAAGAACACAUUCAUUACUUUUACUUCACUCCUCCAGGAUUGAGGAAUAAAUUUGUUUAUGCAAUGUAUUUAUUUUCUCCGAAAUGAGGUGAUGGAUGCAAAGAGUAUCCGUAUUGAAACCGAUAUCACUGAGGAUAUUGGUUACAAUACUAAAACAACUAUGAAUUUAAACAAACAAAAUAAAUAGUGUAAACUCAAUAAAUAUAUAAAAGCAUUACAAGUUAUUAUGUUGCAACCAAAUUGUCUCUUGAAAUCGGUUUACUCUCAUUCCAGCUGCAAUGCUCAGAAUAUGUGUAUGGAGCUUUUGUUCGAAGCACCAGAGUGACCAUAGCAGAUGGGAAUACAACUCCUCGCCAUGGCGACUGCGCUCCAAAAACUAACAAGGGCUUGUCAGGAAUCAAUACCUGGCAUGAAAAACGAUGUGACUUUCAGCUGCUGUGGCCACAUCAAUCAAGCCAUUACCAUUAGCUCAUCUCUCGACACCGACUUGGACUUCUCUCCGCUGCCCCUCCCAUCCACUCUGCGCUCCUAUGUCACCGUUUUCCCCUCCUCCCCCCCUUGCCUCUCCCCCCCUUCCCUCUCCCCCUGCCAGCUCAGCGGAUGCCCCUUGUCGCAGCUCCUAUUUCAGCCUUCUGAAGUUUCAUAAUUGAUCGCAAUUAGAGCUGCUACAGAGAGAAAGAGAGAGAGAGGGGCAGGCAAACAGAAACUGAGAGAGAAAGUCUGUUUGUGUGUGUGUGUGUGUGUGUGUGUGUGUGUGUGUGUGUGUGUGUGUGUGUGUGUCUAUAACAGAGAGAAAGAGAGAGAGGGAUUAAAAUCAAUGAGCCUGUUUUGAGAGUGGUUAUAUUAGCAACUGCACUAGAUCUGACCAGAGACUGUAGAGGUAAUAACACUGCGAUGGGGGGAGCGACAAGACAAAGAGAGCCACAGAGGAACGGUGAGUCACUGCUGACGGGAGGAAGUCAAGUGACACUAAAUAAAAAUUAAAAAAACAUUGAAAGACACACUGGAUAUUAUAGGGGAACCUCCUGAUUGAGGAACAAAUCGGUUGUUUUUAGUUCUCAGUCGACUCCGUGUUUGGUGCUUGGUGGUCAAGGAGAGGGACACGUGGUUUCACAGAUUUCCAGUGAAGCUUCUGUGUGAUUGUAAGAGAUACUCAAGGUUCACAGAUCUGUCGAUUUAAAUCAGCUAAUUGAUUAGUCAACAAACUGUUAGCCGGCUGAGGAGGACUUUGGUGGAGGACAGCCCUCAAUAUGAGACACAAAUAGAAGGCGGAACCUGACUUACUUACAUUAGAAAUAAAAAAGUGAAUGAAUGAUAUUUUUUUCAUUCUUGGAUGUAUGUUUAUAGACAUGUAUGUUUAACAAACAAUAUACCUGAAAAGAAGAAAAAAAAAUUGUCUCCAUGAACACAAAAUUUGACCAAACCUGACAAGACAGAUUCUUGUCACUGCGCUGAUUAAUAUUUUCGGCACUGAACGAUUACAAUCCAAAGCUACUUUAGGAUUUAAAACAGCACCGCCGUUACAUUAGCAGCAACUACCGAGCUGGAUGCCGCAGUAGUUAGUAGCGUAGUUGUAUCAUAGAUUAGUAUAAGAUAAGUAUCUGGUCAGUUUCUACAACCCAAAUAAGGAUCCGGGGCAAAAACCCCAGAUUCCCCAACUUGGCGUGACGUGAAGCACGUGUGACUCUUGAGAGCAAGUAGAAGGAAAAAAAAAAGAAAACCUUUCCCAACAGGGAGUUGACAUAGAGGGGGAAAAAAUCAAGAUAGGGAUAAGUUGGGAUCAAAUUAACAGAGUGAUUUCAGUGACAAACAUAGCCGAGUGAGAGAGCCACAGAGUGGAGGAUUUGUAAUAGAGAGAUAGAGUGGCAGAAUAACAAAGAGGAAGAAUAACAAUGGUGCCAAAGCCUCUUCCAUCCUCCUUGCAAACGUCCCUGAUCUCCCUCUUUUCUCUCAUUUAAAUUCCUCUCCAUUGUCAUUGCAAUCCGGGCCUAACCCCCCACCGCCUGGCAAAUACACACACACGCGCGCGAGCGCAAACACACACUUAAGAGCGCACACGCAUUGACCUCCGGCAACAACCGGGGCCGUCCCGAGGAGCCGAGCUCACACAUCUUGGCUAAUCAAUGCGCACACAUGCUGGACACUCACAAUGUUCGCAGGAAAAGACACAGUAGAAUCAAGUGCAGUCCCCUCGGACCAGCGGGCUUGGGUCAGCGUGACCUCGCCGUGCUCACACGGGUGUGGAAUAGCAAGGACUUGUCACCAGUCCCGUGUCAAACACAAGGCCAACGCAACGCUCUCUGCUGCUUUGUCAACAUGCGCCGUCGAUACAGCCGGCCUGACUUCUACUCCUUAGUUCCUAUUCCCUGGUCAGCGGCGCUUAAGACGCCAGAACGCCGGCUUGUCAGCAUCUGUAUCUGACAGAGCAGACAUUCUGCUCUUAACAGCAGCAACAGGAAAAAGAAUAAUGUCUUGUCAGCGUGAUCGGGACACGGCUGGGUUAAUACAAUUCCUCGACUUAUCCCCCUUGUCAGCCAUUCUAGGUCACAGCGAAUGGCAACCGGCGCCGUGUAUGUAGAUUUGCCUUGUCAAUGUGCAUAGCAACGUGUAGACUCAACAACGCCCGGGAAUAUGCGAGAGCGGCCUAAAGGAUGCCCAGUGUGCACAGUCAAGACAACACUGAGGUUGUAUUGUGCUUUGCUCUCACUCGUGUCAGCAAUGCUCGGUCAGACAUGGUAAUCAGUGGUCCUCAUUCUGUCCUGGUUGUGGAACACACUACAUGCUUGUGGUGUCUCGGCAUUUCAAAUAUAAGAAAUGUAGUGAUUGUUUUAAAUAUGAGUGAAAUUCUACAAUUCUCCCAAACAAACUUGAUACCAAAAGGUACAAAACAGGAUCAAAAACUCCAUAUAUUUGAAUGCAAACAUAUCAAUCAUUCACGAAAUGAACAAAUAACGAGGUUGUUAUUUAGCUUUUCCAAAGGUUUAGGAAAUAGACCUUGGACGCAUCACAAUUCAACCUCUGUUUCUUAGCCGUUGGCUCUUUUAUGUGACCAAGUAGCACCUUGCCGCUCACCUGCUGCUAAGCGCUAACGUAGCUCUCCUCCUGCAGGAUUUCAACACGCAUGUCUUGUUAUACAUUGAGAAACGAGUGUCUUCACAUUUUCAGGAUCUCAUCCUCAGUCUUUCAGACUUAAGUAUCCGCCGUGGCGGACGGCUCCAUACCGACCUCCUACUUUUCGGCAUUCCUUGUUCUGACCGCACGCCUACAAUCUACAACCAUGGCCUUGAUUUUGAUCUCAGCGACAUACCUAUAAUGUUUCACACACACUCAUAAAUCAUCUUUUUUUUUAAAUGCGUUGUACUGCAAUAACUUCAUGUUUAAAAAAAUCUCUCUGAGCUGAAGUAGUUUUCUUUCACUAUUAUCUCAUUUACUUUUCAAAAGUGGGUUAUGUCAAAAAAAAAGAAAAUCCUAGUAACAGCUGCCUCAGUCUGACGAUGGCUAUUAAACUGUUAAGGGCUAAAUUAAAGAUGAGAUAAUUCAAAAAGGAACAAAAACAUAUCCUGCUGUUUAACAACAUGAGUGACAUUUAGGGUGAUAUUAAAUCCAUUACCAUGAACUGUCUCUAAGGUGUAAUAUACAGAAAAGGCUUAAAAACAACUUGUCAUAAUUGUAAAAAAAGGAAAAUCGAUCCAUCCCAAACUGCCUUUGCAAAGUAAAUCAGGCACAUGUAGAGGGUACAAAUCAGUGGGGAUAUAAUCCUAAAUAGCCAAGUGUGGUCAGGGUUGUGUGUGUGUGUGUGUGUGUGUGUGUGUGUGUGUGUGUGUGUGUGCCGUGGGAGAGGCGGAGAGAGACGGGGUGUGUGGGUGUUAAGGAGAUUCUGGCGACAAGGCGAACCCCAGGGAUCAAAAAACACACAGUCUCCCAUUACUGACGACCCCACACGCAGACACGCUGUGCAAGUGUACAUGACAUGGUGGUGUCUACUAAGCAAUUUGCCGACACGAAUGCCAACAGAGGCCCGACGGCAGGACGAGUGGUAGAGUGCGACAAGGAAAGAUAAAAGAAAGGCUGUCAUCGUCCCGGGUUAUCUUACAGGUGCAUCACUUCAUGGAGGAUUCUCUGAACCCAUCUGAUCGGGGUUCAAAUCUGGGAUCUGUUGUCAUUUCAAUUAGUUCAUUUGACCUCGGGAGUUAAACAACAUUGAGUUCAGAGCGGCGGAACCACUUCGUUCUCGUCCUUCACCACCUCCGAAAGCCUCACACGGACACAAAGAGCGAAUGCAGUGUAAACUACAUUUUAGCUCACUCUGUACUCUCCAUUUAAAACGAUGCAUCCAAGAGUGAUGCGCAAAUAAAAAAAGAGUCGGAUCAAAAGGGCUGAAUAGUCAAUAAAAACUAUUUUAGGUGCUCGAGGCAAACAAAUGAAUAAUGUUGAAUCUUUGAUAGACUCUACAGAGUCUCAGUCCCUUGAGUCUUCCCUCUUUCUUAUUUAACGUUUUUCCGAAUCUCAUUAGUUUGUUUAUACUGCUUAAGCGGUAUGACAUACGCUUUGCUUGCUGCGAGGCCAACGUCCUGACGGGGGAGAAUAAAUUCUAGAGGAAAAAAAACUGUGCAUUACACCUGUUUGUCAGUAGAAGCCCGAGGCUUCGGCAGGCGUGUGUCCUCGUUUUAGAUCCCCAAACCAGCUCGUGUUGGGGACGUCUGUUCUGGCUGGGGGGGAGCAAAUGAGUAAUGCCCUUCCCUCCCUCAUCGGCAAUAAAAGUUGCCCUAGAAGCAAGGCCCUUAACCCCAGAUUCCCGCGGUGCAGCUGCUGAGCCAGCAACAAUUUGCAUUCGCUAAUUCUGCGUGCAUACAUCAUCCGUCAUUCAUGUUUAAAAGAAAGACCUUUAAGGACCGGACGCAGACAUUUUAUUUAGUGGGAGGCAUUAAACCGUAGCUUCAGGUCUGUGUGCGUUAAUAAAAGUGUGUAUACAUACCAUUAGUGUUCAAAGCAUUGCGGCACGCAUGGACUUCCCUGUAUGUAACCCUAGAGUCCUGAGCUGUCAGCGUGAAUGCAUGGCCGCGCCCUCCGUGGAAUCUGGAUAUCGCUCUACGUGUGUGUCUGCUGCAUCUGCCCAUGUCCUGUACCGUUGUGGCUGUGUACACUUUUGUGACACGUGCGUCUCCUGCGUGCCCACAUGUCUGAGGUUUCCCCUCCACGAGCGCCGACAUGUGUGCGUCCCGCUGGCGUUUCUGGACAGAGGAAUUCUAUCCGCCUCCACAGAGUCCUUUCAUCGCCCGCCACACACACACACACACACACACACACACACUGCUGCUGACAUGGGCAUGUCACCACGGCAACCAGAUAUGGCCGGAGACGUGCUACUGACAGAGAAGCAGACCACCAUACUGGUGGGCCACAGGUUCUCGUCGGGGGGGGUUCAGGUCGGCCGGCAGGGUUGGCAGCAUGUGAAUUUUCCAACAGUAUUCUUAAAUUCAAACGCAUCACCUGAGUAUUGAGAAUCUCAGUUCUGAUUCAAAAGGACAGAAAUGUGAUUUCAUACACUGCCUGCCUUGUUCCCAAAUAUUCACAACAGCUUGCACGGCAUUGAGGCUUCUCACACAUAUGGCUACCAUUAUUGAUUUGGCAGAGGGAGUCCCCUUUCAUGUGAUGGCAAAACAAGCCUACAAUAUUGUACAAAUUCACCGCUUUAAUGUUUUAGCAGGGGAAGUAGAGUUAUGUCUAUCAACACGGAAAAUAAAAUGGGUUUCAUGCCCUCCUAAAUUCUGAGAAGAGUACUCAGCACGGAUAAAAGCAGCACAUGAGGUCUGAAUACAACGAGAGAGAAACUGAGAGGAUGAAAAACUAUUGAGUUACAGCAGGGUUUUUUUUUUAUGGAGCAAAGAGAUACAGGCGGUCUUGUGUUCUUACCUUGGACAAGACGAAACGUCAGCGUGAUCUUCCUCGUCACCCUGUCAAAGACAAACAACAGUUAGUCAGGGCAGAAGAUUAAACAGUCAAAAAAGGAGUUUUAUUUUUCCAAAGUGACUAUUGCUUUUCUUUUUAGAUAUCUGCCCCGGUUGUUGCGACCAGACAGCGACCUAUGUUUUUAAAGAGGGAUGCCAAUGUGGAAGCGCCUUAAGCAUUCAAACUAAUGUCCAUCGUUUUCUCCUCUGGUUGCAAAAAGAAGUCUGAAUGCAUAGGAGCCGAAGAGAAAAUGACACCACAUUUCACUUGAUUUAUUACCUCAAUAAACAUUGUGAACAUGACGUCUCAUUCAGUGGUUUACUUAGUUAAUGACGGCCCCAUUUAGACUAAGUGGGACCAUAAAGCCGGGUUGGCCUGAGGGCGUGGCUAACUUGUGAUUGGCAGGUUGCUACCACGGCUUUUUCCAAUAUGGGAGACGUCUGUGUUUUUGACUUUCAACUCCUUCAUUGAAUGUUCAUGGUUUUAGUAAUGAUAUUUUUAUAGUCUUAUAGAAGGCUCGGUUUUAGUCGCCCGCUCAUGUCACUUAUGGUUGCAAAAGAUGCUGACCGCCCAAAUGUGAAACUGAGGCCCUUACAAACCAACGGCUGUUGUUACGGCAACCAUUUCCAAUUUUUAUAGAUGCUUUACGUUGUGUCCCCAUUGAGAAAGAUCAUCUCUGCUGAUAUUUUCAGCAUAAUUCAAAAGCCACAGUAAUAAACUUUAACUGGUUCAAAUUGGUGAUUCUAAAGAGAUACUACUCUGCUUACAAAAAUCUAAAUGUAAUGAACUCCUAAGGUUCGAUCCACACCCGCUUCCCCAGCCUCAUCCAAUAAGCAAUAUUUCUUCAAUCAACAUACCUCUCCCUUUUAUUUUAUACCCCAUUCUAUAAUGGUGUUCAUUUAUUCAGCAAUGUGGAAGUCGGAACAUAAAAUGCAGCCUUAUCUACUCGGUGCAUUGGUUCCUCCAUGGCUCCCUCCUUCCACCUGGUUUCCCUUCUCUCCCCCUGCCCAUCAGUCGGCAGGCGGGGACAGGUGAGCCUAUUACACGCUUUUUCACACACUGUCUAUUACACACAGUCAUAGGUUCACGCACAAAACCCCAACUAGCUCGACUUCAUGGCAAGUUACAUUUGCACGCACAUCACCCGAAGCUGCCGUGCUGUAAAGCGCCUGUUACCACAGCCGCGUCACGCUCACGAUGAAGUGAUCUAGUGGUGCGCAUAAAAGCUGCUAAAAGAAAGAAUUAGAUACCAGUGAAUGGAACAGGAGAAGAAGAACUGACUGCUAACGUUACGUGUGAUUUCGUCAACUUUUACAAUGAGUGGAACGCAAGGACAACAAGCAUGAGAGUGCUAUUAUUACGCUCACUUUCCCAAAGUAAAAAAUAUUCAUUCACAAAUACUUCAGGUCCAAACUAACUGACAACAAAUAGGAAGCAAACAGUCAGUCAGUACUGCUUUUCCCUACAAUAUACAAUUAAAAUUUAAUGAUUUACUUAAUAGAGAUUGAAAAAAAUUCCAUAGAUUUGCCUGUAAGAGGAGACGUUUCACCAGCCAUCUGAAGGUUUCGGUCAAAGGCCCAAAUGGUAACAAGUAUGUGCUCUCGGCUUAAAGUGAUGAUCAGCGAACCAGCAAACAACUCACCGUGCUGCAUUAACUACGGCGAGAGCAUUAAAAGGCAGAAAGUUUAUACAUUUUUUCCAUAUUCCCUCCUCCACCGUUUCGCCCUCUCCCUGCAUCCUGUCGUGUCUCCUUUCAUUUUCCACCAGAUAAAUCUGACCUCAGAAUGGUGGAUUUUUUUGGGGUUGUUUUAUAUUUUGUUCUUAUGCAGAGUCAGGGCAGCUUAUCUCAGUUUGUCAAGAGAGAGAGAGAGAGAGAGAGAGAGAAAGAAAGAGUGGUAUCACAUGAAACAUCACGGUUAAGAUGCUCACAUUCGGUCUCGGUCCCCCUUGCCGUUCUUGUGUAUUCGCCUUUCCAACUAUGUGCCUCUACGUCCUCCAGACCUUGACACCAGCUAUACUUUUCCAAUUCAGCAGUUCCUUAACUCUCUUGAUGACAACAGCGCCUUUAGCAGCAGCGCAGAGCACAUAAAUGAUCACAAUACUAAACAAAAAAGCAAAAAUAGUACCAAAGAAUAACCUUAACAGAAGCAGGCAAAUCAAAAAUAAAUCAUUAUUUAUGCGGAGAUCGGAGUGUACGAGAAAGAAACACCCGAGUAGUGAAUAAUGGGAAAGAGCUAAAUAUACAGUAGCUACUACAGAGAGAGGAAUUAAAUUAGAUGAGAUGUUAAUGCAAACAGUGAGUGGUAAUUACACACUCAGCAUGUGUCUUUCCAACACCCCCGCUCCCUAAAUCCUUAUCUGUAGACAUCCAAACGCCAUACGUAUCAUUACUUGAUAAUGUCAUCCGUCAUAACACUAUGUCAGCCCAGCGUGGAUGUUUUUUUGCUCUUCCUUGAUUCAUUUUACAAUCAUGGCUGUAGGCUACAUCUUGAUUCAGGAAACUCCACCCAACUGAACAUCUGUCUCAAUAACGUUUUCAGUAACCAGGGAGUUCAGUUUAUUUGACCCUUUCAAACUAGUGGUUGACAAUUUAAAAAUAUAUCCGCGGUUGGGCUUAAAAUGACGAUGAACAGAUGGAUCCACCAGCAUUAUCCAUCUGUAAUAUAUCUAAGAAAUUGUAUUGACCUAAUUGCGUUCCAAGCACACGUCUCACCUUUUUAACACUUUACAAACUUUUUACAAUUUAUCAAACAACACAAAUUGAGGUUCUCUAAGCAAGAUCCGAGGUUGGGAUCAUUGCUAUUGAUCCCAACGGCUCCCGACAUGGUGACGGCGAGCCACUGGCGACCAGCUAACGAUGGCAAAAGCGUCAAAGGGGGGAAACUACAGCAAAAGGACUGACGGAGCUAAUAGCGUUUACCAGUGGGGGGCCGGUUGCUACGCUUCCAUGCUAAUACUAGAUGCUAUUUUAGGGUUUCCCUUUAGUUAACAGCAUUGCAGGGGCGAUGAGGACGGACGUACCGACAGAGGGACAGAUGAAUGACGGGAGGGUCGGGGGGACGGGGGGGGCGUGGAGACAGACUGACUGACAUCAGUCCUUCCCCCAAUAGAAGGGCAGGGGAAACACUGCAUUAACAGACUUUUACCACCUUACAUGACCGUGUCCCACUGUUUUGUUAUGAAGCUCGUGUGUGGCAGUUCGCCAUGAGUCAGAAAAUCAACAGAUGUUAUUGAUGGGAUUGGAAUUUAUUUGUUUGUCUGUUGGUAGUCUGUCUUUAAAGCACAAAACAAGCUCCAUCCACCUGAUGGACAAAACAUGCAGUGAUUUCGGUCGUGCAAAACGGUACACGCCUCGUUGAAGGUCUGAACCGAAUGAGGGAUGACGAGACGCUAGCGCUUUAAAACAUGCCCUUGCACAAACAAACUAAAAAUAAAAAGGCAGAAAAUUAAAAGGUUACACCGGCAGGGGAACUACUAUAAAUCAGUGGGCUGAAAGGAGUCAUAGGAGCCACUGAACUGCACACGGCAUGAAAUCCAAUGAGAAUCCAGCCAGCAGCCUCCCAAUACCGCCCUUCUUCUCUGUUUCCCUGCCUGUUCUCUUUAAGCCACGGCUAUUCUUAGCGAGCAAGGGGAUCGGGUUAAGAAGAUGAAGGCUGAAAGAUCACGGAGAGACAGAGAAUUUAACUAAGAGCACAGUGACCGGCGAACCCGCUGACGACGGGUCAACCCGCCUGUUUAUUUGGAGAAUUUGUUCGCCGGCCAGAGUGAACAUUCAAUGGAAUACAUUAUCUUCAUGCAUCACAGCAGAAAUCUAACGGAGGAGAGAAAGUCUCUGAUAUAUAAUUAAAGAUUCAUUUCUUUUGUAAAAGUGCAGUUGAAUGAGGACAAAGUGGAAGAGGAAGCAGGUAAAGCCGAGGCAGAAUGUCAUAAAUAAGUAACUGUUUUGGCUAAAGACAGCACAUUAUCUGGCCCUUUUUAGUUGUUCAAGGGAAUAGCGGUUAUCUUGAAAUACCAUCUGAAUGGGGCCUGAGCAAAUAUCUGUUAAGUCACAACAGCGACCGAAGAAGUAAUACUAAAACAGUGGAAAGGAUUUGGCUUUUAGGAUGUCAGAGGUUAAGAGAGCAAAGCGGCGCCAGAGAGUUCAGACUGUAAGCCUCAUGAUCUGCUUCAUAACUGUCAUCUGACAUCACUACAGCAGAUGCUUUAUCUCAGAUCCUGUUCCCGAGGCCCAUUCUAAUGUAAUGGCCAUGGGUCUGUGUCACACUGUAAUGCAAUGAAAACAGAGAGGACAAAGGGGCAAUAGGCCGAGAUGGUUUGGCCCGGCCCACACCAUGAAGAUGGGGUUUGGGUGAGAAAGAUCCAAACCCGAAGACUGCAAUGUGCAUGUAGAGCAGGGCAGGAUCCCGCUGCAGGAAUAACAGCACGUUAUGUACGAAACCUUGUCCAAGUGUGUGUGACGGAGACGUGUGAAAGCCUCAUUAGGCGACACGUCUUUCCUGAGGCGGAGGCGUGCUUUUGAAAAAACAUUUUGUGUUUCCAACUCGGGUGUAGACUAGUUAAAGUGACACACUGCUGGAUGUGUACAGCAGUGUGUCACUUUAACUAGUCUACUGCUGUACACAUCACCCUGACUGCAUGUGUCACUUGUUAGCAGUUGAGAUCGACCUGCUGCAAAUGUUUCUCCUUUUCCUUCUUUGUAAUAGUCAGCAUGCUUAGUGUAGCUUAAUAUCUAAAUGGUUUUCCAUUCAUUGAUUGUCCAAAUAAAACCCUCAUUUGUGUCUUGGGUCAAUGUGACUGAACUAUGGGGCUUUACAGACACAACGGGAAGAGGUACCCUUUUAAAACUGUGUAUUAAUUGCUGGUGAAUACAAAAGAUUGGUUUAAACUAUUAUUUAACCAGUAUUUAAUCCCAGUGAGGAAAAAUGUGCCUAAAAAAAGUAAAGCAAAAAUAUUCAGAAUGUCAAGUGGACUUCAUCCGUAACUCUGAAAGACAAUAAUGUCCACAUUCGAAUCGUGAAGAUUGUUAUGAAAUAAAAAAUGUUAAGGGAGGAGGGUGUUGAUGCGUUAAUAUUCAUGGUGUGAAUUAUGAACCGUCGCCUCAACACGAGAAAAUAAAACUCUUUAAAUGGAGUUAUAUCUCUAUAUCUAUUUUUAUUGACUAUUCCGGCUCGUAUCUAAUUAUUAUAUCGUGCCUUUUUGAAAUGCCUGGAUAUAUACGGAUGAGGGAACUAAAUGAAGAAUGUCAAAAGUGGGACAAAAACAAUGUCAUUGUAAAAGCUAGGAGAGAAAACACCACAUGAUCGCAAGCAGAGAAAAAAAAUAACGAACCUUGAAGGCAGUGGGUCAGACGGAGAGAGAGUUAUAGCCCAGAGGGGGUCUCUGAAGAUACUCACUCCUCUCUUUAAAGAACGCUUCCACCUCUGCACCGCCAGAUGUAAAUGCAGCAAAAGCGGGAGGGAGGCAAGAACGGCGAGGGGAAGAAGAGAAACGUGCAGAAAGUGUUCUCUCCUGUGGCAGACUGGUAACAACUGUCUGACAUCCAUCUGGUUUCAGAUGGCAAUGCGAGGGCGAGAGGGAGAAAGGAGAGGAGGGAUACAAGGUUAAUGAAACAAAAGGCUUCAUUUAAUAGAUGGAGGAGGACGGCCGCUGACAGUUUGACAAAGAUGGUCAUAUUUAGUGAGAGAUGGAGAGAGAGAGAAGGGGGAGGUCUUGGGAGGGAUAAAUGUUGUGGGAGACGGAAGGAAGGAGGAGCGCUGAGAGCAUUUGACAAAGAUCGUUUCGCUUGAAAUGAGAGUAAAUGGGAAGGAUCGAGGCUGCGACUGUUUGUGAUCGAGAAAGAUUUGCACAUGGGAAAUAAAGGGGGGGGGGCACUAAACAACCCGAGCCAGGGCUAUUAUCAUCUACUGUAAACUGACCUUUAACAAAAAAACAGGUUGAAUGAAAAGGUCUAGAAUAUAAACAAAAAAGUUUAGAUGUCAAGAUAAAGAAAUGGCAAGAGGAAAGAAUACUAGGAAGACCGCUUGAACCCGUGGUGGUCCACAUCGGCCAGAUGUUGGAUUGGGACAGAGGUUUCUUUAAUGUGCACGGACCUCAUGCAGGUCAUGAGACUUUUAACCAACUGCUACAUGAUUGAGAUACAAUUUCUUUUGCCAAGAUAUCAUAUGUGCUUAUACCCAAUCAUACGAUACUGCUGCUGUGCCUCGGUCGUUUGCUCCUCAUAUUAUUGCAUCAUCACAGUUUUAGAUCUAAUAUGCAUGAAACUUGUUCCCAAAAUUUGGUAGUUGAGAGAUGCAAAUCACCAACUAAACGCUCGCUGCAUUGCAGUGAUUGGGCUCCGGUCUCAGCUGUUUGCCUCAGGAGACUGUCAGUGAACCACUGAGAUGAUUUAGGAUGGUCUUGCAAGGCUAAAAGGGAAGGACUGAGGGGUGCAACUUGGCAGGCAAACGGAUAAAAUGACUGGCAGGUUGUUAAAAAAGGCUGUCACAUCGGCUGCGCUGAGAAUAAAUAGCCGGGUGAGGGAGUGUCGAGAAAGGAUUGCAAAAGUGAAGGAGAGGAAGUGACGUUGGCGUGGGAACGUCAAAAUGAGAGUAGGGAUGGGAAUUUAAACGAUUUUAUUGAUACUGAUCCUAUAUUUGGUUCGGUUUGUACAAAUAAUAUCUGCCAGAUAAGACUCGGGAGGCAUGCAACUCCGAUUAGACAGCUUUGGAUGUUGGGCAGGGAGAUAAAAUGAUAAAUCAUGGCAUUUUAGAAUAAUUAAAUGAAAUAUUGUGAUACCCAAUUAUUUGACAUACUAUGUUGAUAAAAUUAAUAAACACUCCAACUCAAAUGUUCCGAAACAAAAUUUGAUUAACUGGCACUAAAGUUCUAAAAACUAAACUAUUUUUUUUUAAUCCUGAUAUUAUUCACUAUCUGGACAAAGAUAGUAGGAAUCAAAAUACGGAACUAAUUUUUGAUUUCCAUCGCAAACUAGGAGGGGGGGGGGUCAGCGAUAAGGGAAAAAGAAGAAAAGGAAAAUGGAAAAGAAAGUGACAGUUAUGGCCUGAGAGGGAAUCACUGAGAUCCGAAACGCUGUCCAAUUGGCCAAAGAUGGGAGAUUCAUCGCCAGGGCCAGUGGAUGAAUAUCAAGAAACAUCAAGAGCAAGAGGAAGGAAGAAAAGGAUAGAUGAAGGAACAGAAGAGGAGCAAAACAGGAUCAAAAUGGGCUAUGAAUUCCUAUCAAAAAGGAGGGAGGGAGCAAAUCGACAAAUUGAGCCAGGGGAGGGAGCGCGGAGACCAAGAGACAGAAAAAUGGUGUGAAAUCGAGGUGAAAAUGAGGGGACGUUUGGGGAAACACCAACACGCUGGGACACAUGAGGUUUGUGAGGGUUCAGGGUAUGGUUGGCUCAGCACGAUAAAGAUAACUGCCACCUUAUCUGUGGCCGUCAGACGGCUAACACGCAAACAUUUGAACAGACAAAUAACACACAUGGCGCCCACUCCAGCGAGCGCGCACACACACACACACACACUUUCCCUUGGUUCGGGGAACGCGGACAUAGACAGAGCACAUUAAAAGAUUGGCAGACAGGUGUUUGGAACCGGAUAAGAUGUCUGUGUGAUUUGUGCAAUAACAACGGUGUGUGGCUUUGUGCUCCUAUGUGUGUGUAUCCUCUACAUGUCACAACGGAAGUCAACUGUACAAGUGAAACCAAGCAAGGGUCCAGGAAUUUGAUUUGGUUUAAUGCGAUGGAUGAAACUGAAGUUGUAUAUGAGCGUCCCGAUAUAGACUCACCAUCCACAUAUUGAGGGGUUUCGUUGUUUGUUUUUUUACGUUUCUAGGUGCAAUAGAAUCUUCUUAAAAUGGGCUUUUUCUUGGUCAACCUGAUCAUUAUUGCUUUUUCUCCUUUUUCCCCUCACCAAAGGGCUCGCCUGGAGUGAAGCUUUGCCAGGCGGUGUACGCUGCUGAGCGGUUUCCCGGCGCCCCUCGCUCACCCGGAGGGAGGCUGCUUGUGCUGCCUCCACACUUUGGGAUGAAUCACAUUAGUUUGACUUUCCCUUCUGAUUCUGCAAUACCUUUAAAAGAUACCCUCAACACAAAAGGAAAAAAAAUAUAAUGUAUGUUCGUAUCUUCCACUUGUAUCAAAAGAUCCAUAAGAGCUUUUUUUGAACGUGUGAGUAAGAGUCGAUCAUUCAAGGCGUUCAGAACGGGCAUGUUGAAGUGCAUGUUGUACACAUUGUUAGUCGCACACGGCCUCUCACCGCGGCUUCUACCUAAUCAAUGUUUUAACAGUGAGGGCUGUAGUGGGGAGCAGCAGUAUAGACUCAGGUGAUGAAAUGGAGUGAGUGAAAUUGAAAAAUAAAAGGAUGAAAGGCAGGAGAAAAAAAGAAACUGAGCCGAAACAUUAUGACAGAAUCAACGCUGUUGACAGAGUGAUUUGUGUUGAUUGAUUGCAUUUUACACUGUGGGUAAAGGGAGGACAUGGGCAUGAUCGAGAAAAACACCGAAGAAACGGUGCAAAAAAAACUUUGUGGAGCAUCGCAAACCAAAGUCAACGCAUGCGAUCAAAUGACCAAACCCACUCCGUACCCUGAAGGAGAUCAGCGACGGUUAGAUCUCUAUUAUAAAACAAACGAGCAUCAUGAGCCACCAUCAUUACUUUGGCAGAGACUCUGGGACAAAGAUUGGAUUUUUAUCCCCUGGUUCCAUUUGACGUUCAGGCUGUAAGAGGCAGUCUAACGAUUCAACGGUCAUUUCCAGCCAUAAAUGUUAAUUAACGGCCUCAGCUGCUGGACAUUCAUUUCCUGCUGUAGCCGAGAGGGAGGGCACAUAAAAAAUAUGGUGCGUGUUGGUCGCGUGGGUGUGCGGUAGUGUUACCGCGCACAUGUCCUCGUGUGCGGAUGUGAGGGUGAGUGAGUAUCUGUCCAUGUGUGUGUGACAAUGUGACAUCUACGUGUUUCAAGGACACGCGGUGAUGAAAACUGUCCCAAAGGCUCCUCUGUCCUUUUAUAAUACGGCAAUAAGCCGUCUGCGCAAACCAUAACUAGCUGGUCACAGCACGACAACAUAAUAAAGCUAAAGUCAGGUAAAAGUCACGCUCCGAGACCACAAAUUACGCUGCGAGAGGUACAGGACCAACACAAAAUGCACUAAAGGACACAGAAAAAUAUAAAUGUGGACCAAUCACACGUCCCAUUAAAUACACAAACCCCUUCGGGAGAUUGGCUGCGAGGUCAAACCAUACAGCUGGUAGCCUUGUUCAGGAUCUGGACACAGAAAGGGUUGAUUGCUGCUAAUGAUUGACCGGAGGAGUGUGGGUACUAAAUGGUACUCGGUGAAUUUGGUCAGUAUAGGUAAAGAGUGCCGAUAAGCCCUAUUUGUUAUUCAUUGUUUUUGGUUUUGUCCCCAUAUGGCACAUGGCUGAAAAAUUGAGGGCAACAAAAGAAAAUGAAGGAAUUACUUAUAAUAGCUGUACGGUUUCUAUUCGGGCUUUACUUGCCUUUACUUACUUAAGUGAUGUAGUUUAAAAAUUGAAAUGUUGUUUGAUGAAGCCAGCUAAUGAAUGCAGAUCGAAGCCAAACAAUGACCCGCGCCACUGGAAAUCAGAGCUAAUGGAGGCGAGCCAUAAGCCUGGGUUUCCAUCUCACUGUCGACGCCUCACCAUCAUCCUCUCCCUUCUCCCCCAUGCCCCAUCUCUCAAUCCAUUUAGCCAUUCUCCCUCUCAUAUCGCUUAUUGAAGGACUCCAUUAUUUCAGGCCGGUGUAGCAUUCAGGCCAUGAAGAUGUUUUACAGGCUAACCCCGCUUCCACUCCACAUCCUCCUCCUUAACCCAGCACCCCUACCCCGAAAACAGAUAGCGGAAAAGGCCCCAUGUUAAAGCCACGGUUCAGUGGUUUCUAAUUAUGUGUUCACUGCAGGACCCGGGUCAGAAUAUUUCAUAUAGACCCAUAGGGGAGAGAGAGAGGGAAGAAAGAUCUAUGGAUGCAAACAGAGAGCGGAUGAAGAGGUGGAAGCAGUGUGCAUGAAGGAAAGAAACACUGGGAGGUAUGUGUUAGAGUAAGAAAUGGAGUUUGUGACAAUCUAGAAUAAAUCAAAUUUACGUCUUACAUUGUUCCCAAACAUGCGUCCCAGCGCUGAAUGCUAGCAGGAACACAUUUCUUUCGCGCGUUUACCUCUGAUCCAUCGUGUCACUAAGGGUCGAAUCUAAGUACACGUUGCCACGGAGAUAAUACACUACGGAUGCACAUCAACACAGGUCGCCAUGUCGCCAUUGGUCCACGGCACAGAUUCAAAGGUCACCGUGCACCUACGUUGAAGCCCCUCCCCCGGGUUCUCAUUAAAAAAAAGUAAGGUUAAAUUGCCUUUUGGUAGCAAUAAUUAGGGCCACUUUUGGCAAGUACAGUCACCAUAUACACACACACACACACACACACACACACACAGUCUUCUGAGGGCUCUUUAACGACUGCUGUCAUUAAUGUUGGUGUGCGGUUGCCAGCUGUAAUAUUUCCUGUGGUCAUUAGACCAUCUGGUUGGCCCGACUCCUCUCAUGUAUCUGAUUUCUCUUCCAUGUCUGCCUAUCUGCCUCCGCGAGCUGCUCAGUCCAUGCCUCUCUAUUUCUGUGCAUAUUUGUCUCGGUGAAUCUCCAUCUUUACCCACUGCAGUGUUUUUUUUUUUUCCCCAAUCACUCUCAUCAUUUUUACACCCCUCGCAGCCUGUUGCCCCAGGCCACCUCAUCCAUCUAUCUGUAAUGGAAACCCAGUGAUGUAUGCAGCCAUUUUGGUGCUCCAAUAUGUUAAUUGGAGAGCUCUGGAGCCUCAUUUAUGGAGGGGUCAAGAUCCCUCUAAAGUAAAGCUCCACUGCUGCUGUAAUUAUCACAAAGGGAUUCAUCCAAACACUCAGGAUUUCACAAAUGCAGCUCAAAAUGUCCUUGCAUUAACCCUAAAAAGGUAAUUGCUCUCCUUCUUAAAACUCAUAGAUAUAUUCAAAGGUGUUGAAUGAUGCACAUGGAAGCUUGGAGUUUAUUCAUACUUUGGCUGGGGUUUCAGGUUCCACGCUCCAAGGUGGAACCUUGAUUGCAUUGGGAUCCAAUCAGCCAGACCACAUGCAGAGGUGACCUAGCUCACAUCGAGUUUGGAUCUCAUUGAAAUGAGGACAGCAUGUGGGUGCAAUCUGGACAAUAUAUCAAAUGUAGGACUUGCAUCUUCUCCCUCCCACACCUGUGCUCAUUCUCCUAUGGAAAGCAAAGGCACGAGAGGAAGACCAUGACUAAAUAACCCCCGAGACCUGAUUUUUCUAAAUUUUUUCCAAUUCAAAAUUUAAUAAAUAAAACAACAGGACUAUUAUUGUGAAAAAUAUAUAGAAACGUGUUUAUUGUACAAUUACAAUCAGUUAUAAUAACAGGAUUUUACGGUGAAGAAUUUAUGGGAAAUAAAAUGGGUUUAUUUACGGUUUUAUAGCAACCCCUUCAAAAUAUAUCCUAAAAACGAUCCAGUUGGGCAGGUUUCGCAGAGGUGAAGAGUCUGGACACACAUGCAGAUGCUGGAUUGAAGCUGAACCUUGAAUACAAUUGCAAAAUACAUUAACCUUGCAUCAUCCACUAACACUGGUUCGCACAUUUAGGCAAGAACAGAGGACUAACAAUGAAGAAUUUCUCCUCAUGUCUCCAAUGACGGCUAUCCCUUUCAAAUAUGCAGUUGAUGUAUGCGUCUGGUUAAGAGACCUCCCCUACUUAUUCAAUGCCUUUGUUUGGAGCUGAGGUGAGCAAUCACAAUAGCUGCGCAUGUAAUGAUGCAUUCAAAUCAAUUAUCCCAGGGAUAUGUUAGAGCAAAAUCCAGUUCCAUUGAAUGUACAGUUCUCUGAUUAACUGAGGUCUAAAACCACUUGUGUCUAUCUUAGCAACAUGGUAGCGGAGUCCAUCCAUAAUGCAAAUUUAGAUUAUAUGUACAAAUACACACACAAUCUCUCGGAC
ensembl:lncRNA